rnacentral:piRNA from 1 species
GGGAUGCUCACCUGUGUG